AGCGAACGCUGGCGGCAGGCUUAACACAUGCAAGUCGAACGCCCCGCAAGGGGAGUGGCAGACGGGUGAGUAACACGUGGGAACGUACCCUUUGGUUCGGAAUAAAUUGGGGAAACUCAAGCUAAUACCGGAUAAGCCCUUAUGGGGAAAGGUUUACUGCCGAAGGAUCGGCCCGCGGCUGAUUAGCUAGUUGGUGAGGUAAAGGCUCACCAAGGCGACGAUCAGUAGCUGGUCUGAGAGGAUGAUCAGCCACACUGGGACUGAGACACGGCCCAGACUACUACGGGAGGCAGCAGUGGGGAAUAUUGGAGUAUGUGGGCAACCCUGAUGCAGCCAUGCCGCGUGAGGGAUAAAGGCUGUAGGGUUGUAAAGCUCUUUUACCCGGGACGAUAAUUACUGUACCGGGAGAAUAGGCCCCGGCUAACGUCGGGCCAGCCGCCGCGGUAA
rnacentral:rRNA from 1 species